rnacentral:rRNA from 1 species
CUGCGAAUGGCUCAUUAAAUCAGUUAUAGUUUAUUUGAUAAUUCUAUACUACUUGGAUAACCGUGGUAAUUCUAGAGCUAAUACAUGCUUAAAAGGCCUGACUUCAGGAAAGGCCGUAUUUAUUAGAUAAAAGACCAAUGCUGACAACAGCUUGAUUUGGUGAUUCAUAAUAACUUUUCGAAUUGCAUGGCCUUGAGCCUGCGAUGGUUCAUUCAAAUUUCUGCCCUAUCAAUUUUCGAUGGUAGGAUAGAGGCCUACCAUGGUUUUUACGGGUAACGGGGAAUUAGGGUUCGAUUCCGGAGAGGGAGCCUGAGAAACGGCUACCACAUCCAAGGAAGGCAGCAGGUGCGCAAAUUACCCAAUCCCAAUACGGGGAGGUAGUGACAAUAAAUAACAAUCCAGGGCCAUUUAGGGUCUUGGAAUUGGAAUGAGUACAAUUUAAAUUCCUUAAUGAUUAACAAUUGGAGGGCAAGUCUGGUGCCAGCAGCCGCGGUAAUUCCAGCUCCAAUAGCGUAUAUUAAAGUUGUUGCAGUUAAAAAGCUCGUAGUUGAAUUUCAGCUCUGGCUGAGCAGUCCACCAUUGGCUGGCAUUGUUCUGGCUGGGGUUCACCUUCUGGUGAGCCAGUAUGUUCUUUACUGAGUAUGCUGGGGAACCAGGACUUUUACUUUGAAAAAAUUAGAGUGUUUAAAGCAGGCCUAUGCUUGAAUACAUUAGCAUGGAAUAAUAGAAUAGGACUCCGGUUCUAUUUUGUUGGUUCUUUAGGACCGAGGUAAUGAUUAAUAGGGAUAGUUGGGGGCAUUAGUAUUUAGUAGCUAGAGGUGAAAUUCUUGGAUUUACGACAGACUAACUUCUGCGAAAGCAUUUGCCAAGGAUGUUUUCAUUAAUCAAGAACGAAAGUUAGGGGAUCGAAGACGAUCAGAUACCGUCGUAGUCUUAACCAUAAACUAUGCCGACUAGGGAUCAGACGAUGUUAAUUUACUGACUCGUUUGGCACCUUAUGAGAAAUCAAAGUUUUUGGGUUCCGGGGGGAGUAUGGUCGCAAGGCUGAAACUUAAAGGAAUUGACGGAAGGGCACCACCAGGAGUGGAGCCUGCGGCUUAAUUUGACUCAACACGGGGAAACUCACCAGGGUCCAGACAUAGUAAGGAUUGACAGAUUGAGAGCUCUUUCUUGAUUCUAUGGGUGGUGGUGUAUGGCCGCUCUUAGUUGGUAAAGUGAUUUGUCUGCUUAAUUAUAUUAACGAACAACACCUUAACCUGCUAAUUAGCUAUACCAACUUGUGUUGGUAGCCAGCUUCUUAGAGGGACUAUUGGCGAUUAGCCGAUGGAAGUUUGAGGCAAUAACAGGUCUGUAAUGCCCCUAGAUGUCCUGGGCCGCACGCGCGCUACACUGAUGAAGUCAAUGAGUUUAUAACCUUGGCUGGAAGGUCUGGGUAAUCUUUUGAAACUUCAUCGUGCUGGGGAUAGAGCUUUGCAAUUAUUGCUCUUCAACGAGGAAUUCCUAGUAAGCGUGAGUCAUUAGCUUGCGCUGAUUAUGUCCCUGCCCUUUGUACACACCGCCCGUCACUACUACCGAUUGAAUGGCUUAGUGAGUCCCUCGGAUCAAUCUUCGGCUGUUAGAAACAGCAACCGGAUACCUGAGAGGUUGGGCAAACUUGGUCAUUUUAGAGGA